AACGACAAUAUCACCAACCAUCCUAACAACGAACAGCAAAACGCGUCAACUCUGAAUCCAGAAACCCAAUAACCGCAGUAACAACUCGACCCGGUCUCAACCCGUCUCUCACAUGCGUCACGCGCCCUCCCGUGUGGAUUUAUGCGAAGAAAGGCCGAGAAGAUUGCUUAGUUGGCUCGUCCAACGUUCAGAUCCGCGAAUUUUGGGGAGAAUGGUACGAAUUCGUACCCAUUUUGCGAAUUCUAUUGGUUCUUGCGGAUUAUUCAUUUCUAUUGAUUGAACCCAUUCAAAUUUAUUCAAAAUCAGUACAAGAAGUAGGGGAAAAAACCUUAUCCUCCGAAAAUACCCUUUGUUAAAAUUCCCAAAACUGCCCAUGAUUUUGACUCUCCCACUUCGUUGGUUGUUUGAAAUGGAAAUCCGAAUCUCCUAUAUAAAAAGCUCAUUGUUGAGCUAAAAGGGAUAAGGUCUCGGAAUGUGAAAAAGCCAUUUUGAGCAAAAAAAAAAACAAGUAUAAUCUUGUUUUGAGUAUAAAAUUUUCUUCUUCCCGAGGAAGGUUGGGGGCUGCUUGGAGCUUUCGGAGUUGUGAAAGAAUCUUCCCGAGGAAGGACGGUAGCUCGUUUGUCUUGUUUUGCUGCUCCGAAACAGUUUUGUUUGAUUUUAGUCGCUCUGAGUUUACUUUCUCACAAUCGAUAUGGUCGAGUCACUGUAGUAAGUGAAUUGCUAUUUUCUUUUGUUUAAAAAUCCUAUAAUUUAUUUGCAAGUGUAGAAUUUUUGAGAAUAUACAUUAAUUCAUUAUCUUUUUUCUUUGCAUGAACCCACCUUGAAUUCCAAAUGGACUUUUUCUCCUUGCAUUUCAUAAUGGGCUAACACGGCCCACUUUAUCGAGUCAAGCCCGAAAGAGAAUCCAAAACCGAUUACAUAGCAAAUGGAUGCAAAAAGUCGAGAGAGGAAUAAUGGGUUAAAAUUCCAUCGUUGAAGCGGCCAAGGGAUUAGAAAGUCUCUUUUCUUUUAUUUAUUUUUUUAUUUAUUUAUAUAUUGUCGUCUUUUAUUUAUUUGUUUAUAUAUUUACUCCUUCAUUCAUUCA